UACAGAGGUCUCAAGCGUUGUUCGGAUUCAUUGGGCGUAAAGGGCGCGUAGGCGGCGGGGUAAGUCUGGUGUGAAAUUUCGGAGCUUAACUCCGAAACUGCAUUCGAUACUGCGGUGCUUGAGGACUGGAGAGGAGACUGGAAUUCAUGGUGUAGCAGUGAAAUGCGUAGAGAUCAUGAGGAAGACCAGUGGCGAAGGCGGGUCUCUGGACAGUUCCUGACACUGAGGCACGAAGGCCAGGGGAGCAAACGGG
rnacentral:rRNA from 1 species